UACGUAGGUGCCAAGCGUUGUCCGGAUUUACUGGGCGUAAAGAGCGCGCAGGCGGUCGUUCAAGUCGAGUGUGAAAGCCCCCGGCUCAACUGGGGAGGGUCAUUCGAUACUGAUCGACUCGAAGGCAGGAGAGGGUAGUGGAAUUCCCGGUGUAGUGGUGAAAUGCGUAGAUAUCGGGAGGAACACCAGUGGCGAAGGCGGCUUGCCAGAACGCGCUCGACGGUGAGGGAUGAAAGCUGGGGGAGCAAACCGG
rnacentral:rRNA from 1 species